AACGAACGCUGGCGGCAGGCCUAACACAUGCAAGUCGAGCGGGGACUUCGGUCCUAGCGGCGGACGGGUGAGUAACGCGUGGGAACGUGCCCUUUGCUUCGGAAUAGCCCCUGGAAACGGGGAGUAAUACCGGAUGUGCCCUACGGGGGAAAGAAUUUCGGCAAAGGAUCGGCCCGCGUUGGAUUAGGUAGUUGGUGGGGUAAUGGCCUGCCAAGCCGACGAUCCAUAGCUGGUUUGAGAGGAUGAUCAGCCACACUGGGACUGAGACACGGCCCAGACUCCUACGGGAGGCAGCAGUGGGGAAUCUUAGACAAUGGGCGCAAGCCUGAUCUAGCCAUGCCGCGUGAGCGAUGAAGGCCUUAGGGUUGUAAAGCUCUUUCGUGGGGGAAGAUAAUGACGGUACCCCAAGAAGAAGCCCCGGCUAACUCCGUGCCAGCAGCCGCCGUAAAAC
rnacentral:rRNA from 1 species